AUGAACGCUGGCGGCAUGCCUAACACAUGCAAGUCGAACGAGAUCUUCGGAUCUAGUGGCGCACGGGUGAGUAACGCGUGGGAAUCUACCCUUGGGUUCGGAAUAACUCAGAGAAAUUUGAGCUAAUACCGGAUGAUGACGAAAGUCCAAAGAUUUAUCGCCCAAGGAUGAGCCCGCGUAAGAUUAGCUUGUUGGUGAGGUAAAGGCUCACCAAGGCGACGAUCUUUAGCUGGUCUGAGAGGAUGAUCAGCCACACUGGGACUGAGACACGGCCCAGACUCCUACGGGAGGCAGCAGUGGGGAAUAUUGGACAAUGGGCGAAAGCCUGAUCCAGCAAUGCCGCGUGAGUGAUGAAGGCCUUAGGGUUGUAAAGCUCUUUUACCAGGGAUGAUAAUGACAGUACCUGGAGAAUAAGCUCCGGCUAACUCCGU
rnacentral:rRNA from 1 species